rnacentral:piRNA from 1 species
UGCAACUGAAUGGUGACUAGAUU